UACGUAGGGUGCAAGCGUUAAUCGGAAUUACUGGGCGUAAAGCGUGCGCAGGCGGUUUUGUAAGUCAGAUGUGAAAUCCCCGGGCUUAACCUGGGAACUGCGUUUGAAACUACAAGGCUAGAGUGUGACAGAGGGGGGUGGAAUUCCACGUGUAGCAGUGAAAUGCGUAGAGAUGUGGAGGAACACCAAUGGCGAAGGCAGCUCGCUGGGACGUUACUGACGCUGAGACGCGAAAGCGUGGGGAGCAAACAGG
rnacentral:rRNA from 1 species